CGUAGGUAGGGUUCGUAGGUAGGGCUGGUAGGUAGGGUUAGUAGGUAGGGCUAGUAGGUAGGGUUAGUAGGUAGGGUUCGUAGGUAGGGUUCGUAGGUAGGGUUCGUAGGUAGGGUUCGUAGGUAGGGUUCGUAGGUAGGGUUAGUAGGUAGGGUUCGUAGGUAGGGCUAGUAGGUAGGGCUAGUAGGUAGGGCUAGUAGGUAGGGUUAGUAGGUAGGGCUAGUAGGUAGGGCUAGUAGGUAGGGCUAGUAGGUAGGGCUAGUAGGUAGGGUUCGUAGGUAGGGUUCGUAGGGUUAGUAGCGCGUCUGUGCUGCUUCCACCUGGUGCUUCCUGUUCCCAAAUCACAAGGGCCUGAAGGUGGUCCCUGCUUUCUCUUUCUCUUUCUCUGUGUCUCAGAUGGCGAUUUUGCUGACAGCUGCCAAGAAAAUGCUUCACUCAACAGUCCUCAUGUGCCCAGAGAUGUUUAUAGAACUGUUUGAAUUGCAGCCAUCCCCUGCCCCCUCCCAGGCUGAAGAUCUGUUCUUUUUAAGUUGAUUCGGGAGUGGCAUUCUUUUAUACCCAAAGACUGUAGUGCAUCUUGAAGAGCUCAAAGCACAUGACCGCACAAAUGCUUACAGGGUUUCCUCCCGAGUAAUCCAAUCUCACUCCCCUUGUAAGGGAAUUCUGGGGCAGCUAUGGUUUGAGUAUGCAGUUUGCAUCGUGUUUCUACCUUUAGUACCUUGCCACUCUUUUAAAACGCUGCUGUCAUUUCCCAUUUCUUAGUACUAAUGAUUCUUUGAUUCUCCCUCUAUUAUGUCUUAAUUCACUUUCCUUCCUAAAUUUGUUAUUUGCAUAUCAAAUUCUGUAAAUGUUUUGUAAACAUAUUACCUCACUUGGUAAUACAAUACUGAUAGUCUUUAAAAGAUUUUUUUAUUGUUAUCAAUAAUAAAUGUGAACUAUUUAAAG
rnacentral:lncRNA from 1 species